rnacentral:rRNA from 1 species
GGUUGAUCCUGCCAGUAGUCAUAUGCUUGUCUCAAAGAUUAAGCCAUGCAUGUCUAAGUAUAAGCGUUAUACAGUGAAACUGCGAAUGGCUCAUUAAAUCGGUUAUAAUCUACUCGAUAUUACACAUUACAUGGAUAACUCCGGUAAUUCUGUAGCUAACACAUGAUUGCCAUUUAUGGCGUAUCUGUUAGAUUAAAAACCAACAUUAUUGGUGAAUCAUAACAGCUUGUCGGAUCGCAUGGCCUUGAGCCGGCGAUGGUUCGAUCGAAUUUCCGCUCUAUUAACUAGAUUC